GGUCAAGCUACAAAGAGCGCAAGGUGGAUGCCUUGGCACUGGGAGCCGAAGAAGGACGCAGCGAUCUGCGAAAAGCCGCGGGGAGCCGAAAGCAGGCAGUGAUCCACGGAUGUCCGAAUGGGGUAACCCGGCAGGAGAGAGUCCUGUCACCGUAUACUGAAUACAUAGGUAUACGGGGGGAACCGCCCGAACUGAAACAUCUAAGUAGGGCGAGGAAAAGUAAUCAAACGAGAUUCCGUAAGUAGUGGCGAGCGAACGCGGAGGAAGGCCAAACCAUAGGUAGAAAUACCUAUGGGGUUGUGGACAGUCCAAAAGGAGCAAUCCUUAGCUGAAUGGCAUGGGAAGGCCAGCCAGAGAAGGUGAGAGCCCUGUAAGCGAAAAGGAGUGCGACGGGGACUGGAUCCAGAGUACUACCGGACACGAGGAAUCCGGUGGGAAGCAGGGGGGACCACCCUCCAAGCCAAAAUACUACCCAGUGACCGAUAGCGCAAAGUACUGUGAAGGAAAGGUGAAAAGCACCCCGGGAGGGGAGUGAAAGAGAACCUGAAACCUUGUGUUUACAAGCACACAAAGCACGUCAACGUGCGAUGUGGUACUUUUUGUAGAACGGUCCGGCGAGCGUAUGGAUGCAGCGAGGUUAAGGGCCUCAGGUCUGAAGCCGAAGGGAAACCGAGUCUGAAAAGGGCGAGAAGUUGCAUUCAUAGGGCCCGAAACCGGGUGACCUAUCCAUGUCCAGGGUGAAGUGGAGGUAAAACUCCAUGGAGGCCCGAAUCGACCCUCGUUGAAAAGAUGGCGAAUGAGGUGUGGAUAGCGGAGAAAUUCCAAUCGAACCCGGAGAUAGCUGGUUCUCCCCGAAAUAGCUUUAGGGCUAGCCUUGUGUUAGAUUACCGGAGGUAAAGCACUGAAUGGCCUAGGGGUCGAGAGACUACCGAAGCCUAUCAAACUCUGAAUGCCGGAUAAUUGAUGCACAGGAGUCAGACUGCGUGAGAUAAGUUUCGCAGUCGAGAGGGGAACAGCCCAGACCCACAGCUAAGGUCCCAAAUGUAUGCUAAGUGGAGAAGGAUGUGGAAUUGCCCAGACAACCAGGAUGUUGGCUUAGAAGCAGCCAUACAUUAAAAGAGUGCGUAAUAGCUCACUGGUCGAGUGGUUCUGCGCCGAAAAUGUAACGGGGCUAAGCAUACAACCGAAGCUUGGGAAACGGGAAACUGUUUGGUAGGGGAGCGUUGUAUAUGGGGUGAAGCCAGAGCGAGAGCGCUGGUGGACCAUAUAGAAGUGAGAAUGCCGGAAUGAGUAGCGCGAAUUAUGUGAGAAUCAUAAUGGCCGGAAGUCUAAGGAUUUUGGAGGAAGGUUCGUCCGCUCCAAGUAAGCCGGGAGCUAAGGUGAGGCCGAAAGGCGUAGCCGAUGCACAUACUGUUGAUAAUCAGUAGCCGCCGAAGUUGUUAAGCAAGGGGACACUCAGGAAGUCCACAACCCAGCCGAUGGUAGAGCUGGGCGAAAGGGAGCGAAAUUAGAGUAGCGAAGUGUGGAUGGAAUGAGGCGAGAAAAGCCUUGUGUAUUGACUAGGCGCCCGUACCGCAAACCGACACAGGUAGACAGGAGGAGGACUCUAAGGCCAACGGGAUAAGGGUUUGUUAAGGAACUCGGCAAGUUGACCCCGUAACCUAGGGAGAAGGGGUGCUCUGGGAAACCAGAGCCGCAGAGAAUAGGCCCAGGCGACUGUUUAGCAAAAACACAGGUCUCUGCUAAAUCGAAAGAUGAAGUAUAGGGGCUGACACCUGCCCGGUGCCGGAAGGUUAAGGGGAGGAGUGAGAGCUUCGAACCGAAGCCCCGGUAAACGGCGGCCGUAACUAUAACGGUCCUAAGGUAGCGAAAUUCCUUGUCAGGUAAGUUCUGACCCGCACGAAUGGUGUAACGAUCUGGGCACUGUCUCAACAACCCGCCCGGCGAAAUUGUAGUGCUGGUGAAGAUGCCAGCUACCCGCGAUUAGACGGAAAGACCCCAUGGAGCUUUACUGUAGCCUGAUAUUGGAUUUUGGCACUUCAUGUACAGGAUAGGUGGGAGACUGGGAAUCCAGGGCGCCAGCCUUGGAGGAGUCGCCGUUGGGAUACCACUCUUGAGGUACCGAAAUUCUAACCUGCUUCCGUGAAUCCGGGAGAGGGACACUGUCAGGUGGGCAGUUUGACUGGGGCGGUCGCCUCCUAAAGAGUAACGGAGGCGCUCAAAGGUUGGCUCAGCACGGACGGAAAUCGUGCGAGAGAGUGUAAACGCAAAAGCCAGCCUGACUGCGAGGCCGACGGGCCGAGCAGGUACGAAAGUAGGAGUUAGUGAUCCGGCGGUAGUGAGUGGAAAUGCCGUCGCUCAACGGAUAAAAGCUACCCUGGGGAUAACAGGCUGAUCUCCCCCAAGAGUCCACAUCGACGGGGAGGUUUGGCACCUCGAUGUCGGCUCAUCACAUCCUGGGGCUGAAUUCGGUCCCAAGGGUUCGGCUGUUCGCCGAUUAAAGUGGUACGCGAGCUGGGUUCAGAACGUCGUGAGACAGUUCGGUCCCUAUCUGUCGCGGGCGUAGGAUAUUUGAAGGGAGCUGUCCUUAGUACGAGAGGACCGGGAUGGACGCACCGCUGGUGCAUCAGUUGUCACGCCAGUGGCACAGCUGAGUAGCUAAGUGCGGAACGGAUAAACGCUGAAGGCAUCUAAGCGUGAAACCGACCCUAAGAUAAGAUAUCCCACAUCGUUAAGAUGGUAAGACACCUUGAAGACUACAAGGUUGAUAGGUCGGAGGUGUAAGCACCGUGAGGUGUUAAGCUGACCGAUACUAAUAUGUCGAGGGCUUGACCUC
rfam:[Clostridium] cellulosi genome assembly, chromosome: I